rnacentral:lncRNA from 1 species
AGCCAGCAGCAAGCCAAAUUUUUUAAAUAUAAAGCUUAAAAAAUUCAAGACCAUCUCUUAUAAUUAUUAAAUUAUACAUAUGACAAGCACGCUUAACAUGAAAUAUUUCAGGUAAUAGCGGAGAGAGAUUAGCUUUUAACUUUUUAAUAGCAUUCUUGUUGUUAGAAGCAUUAUCAAAAGCAACAUAAGACUUUUUUUUCAAUAGCAUAAAAUUUUGCAACUUUACUAAUCGAUUCAGCAAUAAAUUGUAUGUCUACGAUCUUCAUCAUACAAAAAAGCUAAAAUAUGUUUUUGCAUAACAA